UACGUAGGGGGCAAGCGUUGUCCGGAAUCAUUGGGCGUAAAGCGCGUGUAGGCGGCCCGGUAAGUCCGCUGUGAAAGUCGGGGGCUCAACCCUCGAAUGCCGGUGGAUACUGUCGGGCUAGAGUGCGGAAGAGGCGAGUGGAAUUCCUGGUGUAGCGGUGAAAUGCGCAGAUAUCAGGAGGAACACCAGUGGCGAAGGCGGUGCUCUGGGCCGGAACUGACGCUGAUGAGCGAAAGCGUGGGGAGCAAACAGG
rnacentral:rRNA from 1 species